rnacentral:rRNA from 1 species
GACGAACGCUGGCGGCGUGCUUAACACAUGCAAGUCGAACGGAAAGGCCCUUCGGGGUACUCGAGUGGCGAAAGGGUGAGUAACACGUGGGUGAUCUGCCCUGCACUUUGGGAUAAGCCUGGGAAACUGGGUCUAAUACCGAAUAUGAUCAUCGGCUUCAUGGUCGGUGGUGGAAAGCUUUUGCGGUGUUGGAUGGGCCCGCGGCCUAUCAGCUUGUUGGUGGGGGAAUGGCCUACCAAGGCGACGACGGGUAGCCGGCCUGCGAGGGUGACCGGCCACACUGGGACUGAGAUACGGCCCAGACUCCUACGGGAGGCAGCGGUGGGGAAUAUUGCACAAUGGGCGCAAGCCUGAUGCAGCGACGCCGCGUGAGGGAUGACGGCCUUCGGGUUGUAAACCUCUUUCAGCACAGACGAAGCGCAAGUGACGGUAUGUGCAGAAGAAGGACCGGCCAACUACGUG